rnacentral:rRNA from 1 species
CCUCCACCCUUUCACUUUGUUGUGAUUGGGAUGGGAUUUGGGGGUUUGCGGGAUCUUUGUAGACUCCGCUCCCCUUGAAUACAUUAGCGAAAAGACCCUUGUGGCCUCGGUGUGAUAAUUAUCUACGCCGUUCGGACACGAAUAGAUUUUUGCUUCUAAUCGUCUUCGGACAAUUCAUCUGAAACUUGACCUCAAAUCAGGCGGGACUACCCGCUGAACUUAAGCAUAUCAAUAAGCGGAGGAAAAGAAACUAACAAGGAUUCCCCUAGUAACUGCGAGUGAAGCGGGAAAAGCUCAAAUUUAAAAUCUGGCGGUUCCGCCGUCCGAGUUGUAAUUUAGAGAAGCGUUUUCCGCGCCGGACCGUGUACAAGUCUCCUGGAACGGAGCGUCAUAGAGGGUGAGAAUCCCGUCUUUGACACGGACCCCCGGUGCUCUGUGAUACGCUCUCGAAGAGUCGAGUUGUUUGGGAAUGCAGCUCAAAAUGGGUGGUGAACUCCAUCUAAAGCUAAAUAUUGGCGAGAGACCGAUAGCGAACAAGUACCGUGAGGGAAAGAUGAAAAGCACUUUGGAAAGAGAGUGAAACAGUACGUGAAAUUGCUGAAAGGGAAACGCUUGAAGUCAGUCGCGUCCGAUGGAAUUCAGCCUUAUGGUGUACUUUCCGUCGGAUGGGCCAGCAUCACUUUUGGUCGCCGGAAAAGGGCAGUUGGAAUGUGGCACCUUCGGGUGUGUUAUAGCCUUCUGUCGUAUACGGUGGCCGGGAGUGAGGACCGCCUUUGUAGGAUGCUGGCGUAAUGGCUUUAAACGACCCGUCUUGAAACACGGACCAAGGAGUCUAACAUGCCCGCGAGUGUUCGGGUGGAAAACCCGUGCG